rnacentral:rRNA from 1 species
CCUUCGGGAUGUGAGUAAAGUGGCGCACGGGUGAGUAACGCGUGGGUAACCUACCCCUCAAUCUGGAAUAACUUCGCGAAAGCGUUGCUAAUACCGGAUACUGUCCAGUGAGCCGUGGCUUUCUGGAUGAAAGGUGACCUCUCCAUGGAAGUUGCCGUUUAGGGAUGGGCUCGCGUCCCAUUAGCUUGUUGGUAGGGUAAUGGCCUACCAAGGCGAUGAUGGGUAGCUGGUCUGAGAGGAUGAUCAGCCACACUGGCACUGAAACACGGGCCAGACUCCUACGGGAGGCAGCAGUGAGGAAUUUUGCGCAAUGGGGGAAACCCUGACGCAGCAACGCCGCGUGAGUGAAGAAGGCCUUCGGGUCGUAAAGCCCUGUCAGAUGGGAAAAAACACUUUCGGUUAAUAGCCGGAAGAAUUGAUGGUACCAUCAGAGGAAGCACCGGCUAACUCCGUGCCAGCAGCCGCGGUAAUACGGAGGGUGCAAGCGUUGUUCGGAAUUACUGGGCGUAAAGGGCGCGUAGGCGGUGUAAUAAGUCGGUUGUGAAAGCCCUGGGCUCAACCCAGGAAGUGCAUUCGAAACUGUUACACUUGAGUAUGGGAGAGGAGAGUGGAAUUCCCAGUGUAGAGGUGAAAUUCGUAGAUAUUGGGAGGAACACCCGUGGCGAAGGCGACUCUCUGGACCAAUACUGACGCUGAGGCGCGAAAGCGUGGGGAGCAAACAGGAUUAGAUACCCUGGUAGUCCACGCCGUAAACGAUGAGCACUAGGUGUAGCGGGUAUUGACCCCUGCUGUGCCGCAGCUAACGCAUUAAGUGCUCCGCCUGGGGAGUACGGCCGCAAGGCUAAAACUCAAAGGAAUUGACGGGGGGCCCGCACAAGCGGUGGAGCAUGUGGUUUAAUUCGACGCAACGCGAAGAACCUUACCUGGGCCUUGACAUCCUUUUGACAGCUCCGGGAA